AACGCGAAGAACCUUACCAAGGCUUGACAUCCUGCCAAGCUUUCCGAAAGGAAAGUGUGCCUUCGGGCCGCAGUGACAGGUGAUGCAUGGCCGUCGUCAGCUCGUGUCGUGAGAUGUUUGGUUAAGUCCAUUAACGAGCGCAACCCUUUUGUCCAGUUGAAUUUCUCUGGACAGACUGCCCUGGUAACAGGGAGGAAGGAGGGGACGAUGUCAGGUCAGUAUCUCCCUUACGUCUUGGGCUACAAACACGCUACAAUGGCCGGUACAGAGGGCAGCCAACCCGCAAGGGGGAGCAAAUCCCAUCAAAGCCGGUCUCAGUUCGGAUUGCAGGCUGAAACUCGCCUGCAUGAAGCUGGAAUCGCUAGUAACGGUAGGUCAGCACACUACCGUGAAUACGUUCCCGGGCCUUGUACACACCGUACGUC
rnacentral:rRNA from 1 species